rnacentral:rRNA from 1 species
UACAGAGGUCUCGAGCGUUAGGCGGAAUCACUGGGCUUAAAGCGUGUGUAGGUGGAUCGGUAAGUACCUUGUGAAAUCCCACGGCUUAACCGUGGAACUGCUUGGUAUACUGCCAGUCUUGAGCCAGCUAGGGGCUACCGGAACAAAUGGUGGAGCGGUGAAAUGCGUAGAUAUGUGGAGGAACACCAAUGGCGAAGGCAGCCCCCUGGGUCAACACUGACGCUCAUGCACGAAAGCGUGGGGAGCAAACAGG